rnacentral:rRNA from 1 species
CCUGACUGUGCAAAGGUAGCAUAAUAAUUUGCCUUUUAAUUGGAGGAUAGAAUGAAUGAUUUGACGAAGAUAUAACUGUCUUGUGCAUAUUUAUUAGAAGUUAAUUUUUAGGUUAAAAAGCCUAAAUAUGAUUAAGGGACGAGAAGACCCUGUUAAGCUUAAAAGAAUUUAUUAACUAUUAUUAUGUUAUAAAAUAUAAUGUUACUAACGAAAUUUUAGUUGGGGCGACUUGGGAGCAAUAUAAACCUCCUUAGGCUUAAUAUAGUUUAAUAUAUGGUCCAAUGAAUUUUGAGUUGAGAACAAGUUACUACAGGGAUAACAGCGUAAUUUCAAUUGAGAGUUCUAAUCGAAAGUGAAGUUUGCGACCUCGAUGUUGGAUUAGGGGGUAGUAAAGGUUGUAGACGCUUUUACAAUUAGUCUGUUCGACUAUUAAUACCCUACAUGAUCUGAGUUCAAACCGGA